rnacentral:ncRNA from 1 species
UAUGAAGAGGUUGCAUUCUUUAUCAGUAUGGAUUGCCAAGAAAAGUUGGUUUUAGGGUAAUUCAGAAAGGAAAGAGUGCCGAAACGUAUUCUAGCCAACUCUAGAAUAUGUUGGGUCGUGAUUGAAUAAGUCACGGACUGUCGCGAUUGGUCGCGGGGCGCUUCG